GUUGCCAAAGAACAUGAUGGUGGUGUUUCAGUUGUGCGAGGACAUCAUGUAGUUAAACUGGACAUUGCUGGUCGCAAAGCUGAGUUAGAUGACGGCCUUACCAUCACCUACGACAAGUGCCUUAUUGCCACAGGUGGCAAACCCUAACAUCCAGCAGGAAUAAAGAUGUUUUGGAAGCAGUUGAAAGGCCCGCAAAGUAAAACAACAGAGUUAUUCGACUUUUUCCAUCAGCAACAACAGCAGCCUGAGCAACGGCCGCAUAGCAGUGCGAAAAAAAAGUGAAAAAAAUUCAAGUC